rnacentral:rRNA from 1 species
UACGGAGGAUGCGAGCGUUAUCCGGAUUUAUUGGGUUUAAAGGGUGCGUAGGCGGAUUAUUAAGUCAGUGGUGAAAACCUGCAGCUCAACUGUAGACUUGCCAUUGAUACUGAUAGUCUUGAGUAUGGUCAAGGCAGGCGGAAUGUGUAAUGUAGCGGUGAAAUGCUUAGAUAUUACACAGAACACCGAUUGCGAAGGCAGCUUGCUGGGCCGUUACUGACGCUGAUGCACGAAAGCGUGGGGAGCGAACAGG